AACGAACGCUGGCGGCAGGCCUAACACAUGCAAGUCGAACGAGACCUUCGGGUCUAGUGGCGCACGGGUGCGUAACGCGUGGGAACCUGCCCUUAGGUUCGGAAUAACGCCCCGGAAGGGGUGCGAAUACCGGAUAAUGUCUUGGGACCAAAGAUUUAUCGCCUUUGGAUGGGCCCGCGUUGGAUUAGCUAGUUGUUAGGGUAAAAGCCUACCAAGGCGACGAGCCAUAGCGGGUAUGAGAGGAUGAUCAGCCACACUGGGACUGAGACACGGCCCAGACUCCUACGGGAGGCAGCAGUGGGGAAUAUUGGACAAUGGGCGAAAGCCUGAUCCAGCAAUGCCGCGUGAGUGAUGAAGGCCUUAGGGUUGUAAAGCUAUUUUACCCGGGAUGAUAAUGACAGUACCGGGAGAAUAAGCUCCGGCUAACUCCGUG
rnacentral:rRNA from 1 species